AAGAGGCGGGGACAGCCCGGGGCCAGGCUUUCCCGCCAGCCCCGCCCCCACGUGGCAGCUCCGCCCCGCCCCGUGCCAGGCUUUCCCGCCAGCCCCGCCCCCACGUGGCAGCUCCGCCCCGCCCCGCGCCAGGCUUUCCCGCCAGCCCCGCCCCCACGUGGCCGCCCCGCCCCGCUUGAUGCUAGGGGUGCAUCAUUCAUCCUAGGCUUAUCAGCAGUGUAAGCUCUGCUGUGUUGAUUGCAGCUGUCAAUUGCCUUGUUACUACAAAACCCAGAAGAAACCCAUCCGCAUUCCCACUUCUUGACGAGACAUGUAAAGUGCUGCACUUCGGGAUGAGCAACCCCCAACACACCUACAGGCUUGGCGGCACCAAACUGACCAGCACCACAAAUGAAAGGGCCCUGGGGGUAAUAAUAGACCACAGUAUGAAUAUGAGCUGGCAGUGCGAUGCUGUAGCUAGUAGGGCAAAUAAUACUCUGGCAUGCAUCAAUCGAGCAAUCAAACCAUGCAUUUAAGCAAUCAAACCAAGGAGGUCGGCAUUCAAUCAAACCAAGGAGGUGAUUCUGCCACUGUACUCAGCGCUGGUGAGACCAUAGCUGGGGUACUGCGUUCAGUUUUGGGCAUUGCACUUUAACAAGGACACGGACAAGAUUGAGAGAGUCCAAAGAAACGCCACCCAUAUGAUCAGAGUCUUACACGGCAAGGAAAGCCAUACGAGGAAAGUGUGAGGGAUCUGGGACUCUUCAGCCUGAGGAAAAGAAGGCUGAGAGGGGACUUGGUAGCAGCUUACUGCUACACUAGGGAAGUACAUCAAGGGCUCGAUGAUCAACUGUUCACCAGGGCACCUGAGGGGAAAACAAGGAGUAAUGGCCACAAACUCCUGGAAGAUCAAUUCAGGCUCAGCAUUAGGAAAAACUUCUUCACAGUCAGGGUGUUCAGACUGGAAUAAGCUCCCUCCAGAGGUGGUGCAAUCACCUACCCUGGAAAUCUUCAAGAGGAUCCUGGACAGUCACCUCGCUGGGGUCACCAGACCCACAGUUAUCUUUCUUGCUUGGUGCAGGGGGCUGGACCUGAUGAUCUGAAGUUCCUUCCGGCCUUACAAUCUAUGAAUCUAUGAAUCUCUCUGCUCAGCAGCACUGUACCUAGACUCCUGGUGUCCCCGGGCAAACUUUUAGUAUCAGCACCCGCUUCGCCAGAGAUUAGGAUAAUAAUAAUCAGACAACAACAAAAAAAUUACCAUUUUUGGUGCUGCCUGGUUCACCCAUGCCUGUGCCAGCCCUGCUGCUCAACCCUGCCACUUGGGGAUCUGCCUGUCAAGUAUAUAACUCAGGUAUCCUGCUUGUCCAUAAAACAGUGGGUCAUGAAAAAUAAAACCUUCAAGGCAUUAGGCCUCAACAAUUACAUUCUUCUGAUUAACACACUGUGUUUCCCUCACUUCCAUUCUAGUAUGGAUUUUGGUGCUAUAUGUAGAACUACUGGAUGCUGUACACAGGAACCCAAAUGCUUCAUAUCUGAGAGAUUAGAAUACACCCAAAUUGUGUCUCACAAAUAGAGUUUAUAAGAUUAGCUGCUGAAACUAUGCUGUUAUUGAGGGAUGUGGGGGGAAAAUUCAAGAUGGUGAAUUUGAUGCUUGCUGGCUUGAUGUGCUAGGGCUAGAAACACUCCAGUGCAUUUGCAAGACCAGUGAUUUUUUUUCCUUACGUGCUUCACCUGGACCGGUAAUCAGAAAUUUAAUUAUGUUAGUUCAUAUUGGGACAUACAGGGCAUGUCUACACAUGCAUUAAUGCACUUUUCCUAAUGCAUAUUAAAUUUAGUACCUCCAAUACGAGGUACUAAAAUGUGCAUUAGGCUGCGCUAAUACUUGGUAGAGCAAGCACACGCUUUUUAGGUGAUGCUUAAUGCACAGUUGUCUAUUCUGUGCAUUACCGUAUUGGCACGGUUUUUGACACUGCUUUAAUGUGCAGUAGAAAAGGCUACUACGCAUUAAAGCGCAUGUGUAGAUGUGCCCAUACAGGCAAGAGAAGGACAGAAUGGGCAUUUUUGUUUUAAUUUUAGUUUUGAAUUUUCCCUUUGCAUUUUAGGGCAUCUCCAUGGUUCAAUACCUCUGUCCUCUGUUUCAUCACCCGUCCUUCUACUUCCUUACUGCCUCCUACUCUAGUUUUGGGUGUACAACAGGUAAUAAUACAGUUGCCCACUGCUGCUAUUCAAAUACAUUUCCCUCUUCCAAUGUGGUCAUGUCCUCUCCAUAAUCUGAAUGUGUCCUCAAAGAUAGGCUUCUUUACUUUUCAUUCCAUCCAGGAAGAGCACACACCAACUGCUGAAACUUUCUUAGCCUGAUGAAGGGUUUUUGAACCCGAAAGCUUGCUUAAUAACUAUUCUCCGACUAUUUGGGUUGGUCUAAUAAAAGAUAUCAAAUUCA